UGCUGCUGCUGCUGCUGCUGCUGCUGCUGCUCGUCUGCCAUAUUUACUUGUCAAAAGUCUCUGCAGCAGGAUAAAUGUAUCAGCCAAUUUGCCGUCUGAGGACCAGAGUGGUGGCCAAGAGCGGGAGGCAGACGACCACGUCCACCUCAGAGUUAUGGCUGGAGGGGUGAACCAGCGUGGCUGGGCUCAUCCAUCCAGGAGCAGCCACAGAGGCCGCCCUGGAGAUCGUCCAAUCAGCAGCAGAUCCUUGGACCCCCUCGCUGAUUAUAUGAUGAUCCUCUCCUGGUCCUCCUGCACUGUCUGGAUCAGAGGCUGCUCCAGAAACAGGUCGACAUCAGAUACAGCAGAACUGAUCGACUAAUUAUUAACAACGCUCCUCAGUAAUACGCUGGAGUCAAAGAUGGUUGACACAUAGAUGGCGCUGACAGUCAGACAGGACGUGUCUUUGGUGAGAAUCACCUGAAACAUCAUUCCAGGGGUCCAGACGUUUGACUGGACACUGAGCCCAGAGUCUGGACAGUACCAGCUGCUGCACCACCACGGGUCCACGAACCACAGGUUCACCACAGGAACAACUUUAAUGUUGAAGUCACACCCAGCAGCUCGGCCACAGACCAGUGCAGGUUCCUCACUGUGACUAAUGUGAUGCUUGUCAAAGCCAAACUCCUCCUGCUGUCCCUCCACCAGCUCCACCGGCUC